GACGAACGCUGGCGGCGUGCUUAACACAUGCAAGUCGAACGGAAAGGCCCUGCUUUUGUGGGGUGCUCGAGUGGCGAACGGGUGAGUAACACGUGAGUAACCUGCCCUUGACUUUGGGAUAACUUCAGGAAACUGGGGCUAAUACCGGAUAGGAGCUCCUGCUGCAUGGUGGGGGUUGGAAAGUUUCGGCGGUUGGGGAUGGACUCGCGGCUUAUCAGCUUGUUGGUGGGGUAGUGGCUUACCAAGGCUUUGACGGGUAGCCGGCCUGAGAGGUUGACCGGCCACAUGGGGACUGAGAUAGGGCCCAGACUCGAACGGGAGGCAGUAGUGGGGAAUAUUGCACAAUGGGAGGAAGCCUGAUGCAGCAACGCCGCGUGCGGGAUGACGGCCUUCGGGUUGUAAACAGCUGUCGCCUGUGACGAAGCGUGAGUGACGGUAAUGGGUAAAGAAGCACCGGCUAACUACGUG
rnacentral:rRNA from 1 species